UCACCCCUCAAGCCCCGUGCUUGGUGUUGGACGGCCGGUCGGUGGAAGCUGACCCCUCCUAAAGACAAUGACGGCGGCCUGUGGUUCCCCCGGUACACUGAGCUUCUUAACCGAGCACGUACUGGACAAGGGCGCCCGGGACCCGGUCCUCUCCUUUAACUAGGAAACUUCUAAU
rnacentral:misc_RNA from 2 species